GAUGAACGCUGGCGGCGUGCUUAACACAUGCAAGUCGAACGAGAAGUGAAGACGGAAACCUUCGGGCGGAAGGCUUUAUUUCGAGUGGCGGACGGGUGAGUAACGCGUGGGUAACCUGCCUCAUACAGGGGGAUAACAGUUGGAAGCGACUGUUAAUACCGCAUAAGACCACAGCACCGCAUGGUGCGGGGGUAAAAACUCCGGUGGUAUGAGAUGGACCCGCGUUCGAUUAGCCAGUUGGCGGGGUAACGGCCCACCAAAGCGACGAUCGAUAGCCGAUCUGAGAGGAUGACCGGCCACAUUGGGACUGAGACACGGCCCAAACUCCUACGGGAGGCAGCAGUGGGGAAUAUUGCACAAUGGGGGAAACCCUGAUGCAGCGACGCCGCGUGAGUGAAGAAGUAUUUCGGUAUGUAAAGCUCUAUCAGCAGGGAAGAAAAUGACGGUACCUGAGUAAGAAGCCCCGGCUAACUACGUG
rnacentral:rRNA from 1 species